AAACAUUUCCGUUUGUCUUCACUCAAAAAACAUCCAAGGAUCAAAAGUUUAUGCAAAACUAGAAAAAGUCACUUACUUGAGUGAUGCAAAGGACAGUGCCUGGAGCUAUAGAUAUUGUUACUUUCUCCUAAAUUGAGGUGUGGAUAAAUAAUUCAUUUUCAGUUAAGAUCUAAGAGUAGUCAACUAUGUUGUACGCAGAGCAGGCCCACUGAAAAUAAUGAACAUGACUAAGCUUGGUCCUUUAAUUUCAAUGGGUCUACUUUGAGUAAAACUGAAAUCGCUGUUCCCCUGAAUGAUUUAAGGGCAACUGGUUUUAAUAUUUCCAGAGAUGGAGAAUUGGCCAUUGUAUGCGCCUGCCUUUCCAAUAGACCUUGGUAUAACCUGAAAUGUGCAUAACACCAAACAGAGUCUCAUGGAACAGAAUCUCUCCAAAGGUGGUGGACUCUCCUUCACUGGAGAUAUUUAAGCAGAGGAUGGAUGGCCAUCUGAUGGGGUGCUUUAGUUGAGAUUCAUGCAUUGGAAGAGGUUGGACUAGAUGACCGUUGGGGUCCCUUCCACCUCUACAAUUCAGUGAUUCUAUAUGUAUGUCUGCUAUCUCCUCCAAGACUUCAGCUUUUCGAUUCUUACCGGAUGCAGACACAGAUGACUAUGUUUCUAGCCAAUUUUUUCUCCUCCACACCUGCCUUGUUUUCCAACUACCUUUCACACUAUUUUGUAACAUUUUGGUUGGCAUAAUAAAAGUAUUGUCCCAAUAUG